CCGGUGAUAUUUGGCGCGCUGCAAGUGACAAAAGUCCUUUCCACAGCGGAAGUUAAACGCGCCAUAGAAGGGUCUGGAAAGGACUUUGGAAAGUCUACUUCCUCGUAUGUUAGGAAUACAAAAUAUCGCAAUCUCGUUCCCCGAGCCUGCGAUCCUUGGGAAGGAAACGAAGGCUCUGGAAUAAUCCAUGUCAGAAAUGAAUAUGAUUG